AACAAAAGAAAAACAAAAAAAACGUAGAUGCUGGGUUCGUCCUAGCAUACCUAUCAAUAACGUGUUUUAUUAUAACACUCAGUGUCCACAUUAUCUGAAACAUGUUGUAUAGUAAUGUUGUAUAACAUGUUAUGUUAUAUAGUCUGUACGCACCUUAACACGGCGGCUUUGAUGAGAACAAUCAGUCGCCGCGUCUACUGACUGUGUUUCCUGUUUUCCGACGGCGAGGUGUCGGGUUGCCAGUUGCAGGGUUUGGUACAUUUGGUUGCCCUGCUAUUGAACCUUCUAUGGUACCAACACAUAUCUCGAUUUCUAGGCGCUGGCAUCGCACAGGAGUACACCUGGUGGCUGGGACCUGAUAUCUCUGAUGUAGAUCCAAUAUCAGUCAGUUUCUGCUAAAGAGCUGCAUUCUCCAGUGUCAGCUGUUGUGAUCGCUGUUCUAAUUUCCUAUCAGCCAUUAUACCACACGACCAAGCAAGAUGAAAUAAUAAAUAAAAUAAAAAAAGAAGUAAGUCAAAAAAUUUGGUAGCUGUGAGAGGUACCAGUGGCAGAUCACACGGUUAGUAUACAGGUAAGCUAAACUAUAAACAUAUAAGUUGUCAUAUCAUAUAAAUAUAACAAAUAACAAUAUAUGCACAAUAAAAUAGUUGAAGCUUUUUGUAAAUGCGACAAAUGACUCGUGAAAG